rnacentral:rRNA from 1 species
UACGAAGGGGGCUAGCGUUGCUCGGAAUCACUGGGCGUAAAGCGCACGUAGGCGGAUUGUUAAGUCGGGGGUGAAAUCCUGGAGCUCAACUCCAGAACUGCCUUCGAUACUGACGAUCUCGAGUCCGGGAGAGGUGAGUGGAACUCCGAGUGUAGAGGUGAAAUUCGUAGAUAUCGGGAGGAACACCAGUGGCGAAGGCGGUUGCCUGGGGCUUUGCUGACGCUGAUGCGCGAAAGCGUGGGGAGCGAUCCGG